rnacentral:misc_RNA from 1 species
GUGCUUCCAUUCUCACGCAGUGCCUGUGUACGCGUGCAUCACACAGCCACUCGCAUAGCAUCGGCCUCCUCUGUCUCUCUCUCUGCCCUCUACCCCUCCACCACACACAAAAAAAAAAAACUGAUCCCUCUUCACAACUCUCCUAGGCUUUUCGUUGCACUUUUCGUGGGCGCACACGCGUGCGAACGGUGGCGCUCGCGUUUUAUUGCCCCCUGCUGUACUUGGAACCGAGCUAAGCUGAGCUGAGCUGAACUUUGUGUGUAUGCAUACGCGCAGGCGUCUUUUUUGUGGAUGACUUUCUGUUUGUUGUUGUUUUGCCCUAUAGCUCCUUCUGCGUGUCCUAAUCAUCUAUCACGGGGGGUUCUCCUUCGAUGCGGUCUUCUCCCCCUCCCUCUCUCUUUACAUACCCUAUAGCCCUCCGUGACGAAGUAGAACGGCACUCUUUGCAUCCCGCCUUUUUGUUUUGUUUUCUGUUUGCCGGUGCGUGCCCUUGGUGCCAAGUCAGGCUGCCUUUCUGUUUGCGUGAGUGCGUGUUUCUGCGCGCGUGUGCCUCUGUUGCCUGCGGUGCUGCUGCUCGGGCGCAGCUCCCCAUCCCUCAUUUACACGGCACCCAGCAUCCCUCUCUGCCCUGUUUCUCUCUCUCGCUUGGAAAUCGAUACCCACACCAGCACGUGCACUUCAGCUGCAGCUCACGUUGGGCGUGCAGGUAUAUGUGGCGACAAGGCACUGAAAAGCGAAGCGCAAGGCUUAUCUUCUCCAUUUUUGUUCCUUUUCCUGCUCGCCAGCUCUACGAAAUUGGUCCCGCCGGUAUUCUGCCGCGCCUGUGCAGGCGAGGUUAACCAGCGCAGACACACUCGCACGCAGGCAGCAGCCGUGUACCGUUAAGAUCUCCUCGCUCACUGUUCGCUCUGGCGUUUUGUUGUUGUUCGUUCGUUACGUAAAAAGCGUAUCGAGUGCUCGAGUGAUCGCGUAUGCGAAAUUUUUUUUUUGGUGCUUGGCAUUUUGUGCGCGUGCGAUUCUUUCACUGUGGUUAGCGCGCGGCACAGACUUCGAAGGAAAUGAGCUUCCCACCACCUCGUCUAGCGCUUCCAGAGGAGUGCAAGCAGGUCGUGUUGGUCGCUCCCAUCGAUGGCCUCACUGCGGCAUGUGCUUGCGCGAUCGCCACAUCCCCGCUCGUGCCGCUGAACUGCCGCGUGCUGGUCGACGGCAUCACAGUGAAGAGCAGCAGCCCAUCCUCCGGCAACGAUAGCCUCCACACAGCGCGCAGCUCCGCCGAAACCGCUGCCACCACGAGAGACUUCAUGAGCACCGUGCAGCGAGUGGAGGCAAAACUGCGUGCAAGCCGCGCCACACGCCGCGACAUUUCUGUGACACACAUGACGCAGUUCUACUAUGGUGGGGUGUCACCCAAGGCGGAGGAGAUCGGGCCGAUGCUGCAUCGAAUUCAUCUACUCGGCAGCGGCGCACUUGGCGAGACGAGCUUCACGGCAUCCUCAACAGACGUCUCUUCUGGGUCUGGCGGGAGCUGUGGUGUACCUCGUGUUGCGGAUUCUCUGUUUGUGCUGGUGCUGAGUGCGCAGUCGCUGAGCCCAGACACGGAAAGCGGGCUCAAGGCGUACGAUAUCCUUCUGCGUCGUCUUUGGAGUGCUGCCGGCGCUUCGCAAGCCUCCGAAACCGCUUCUCAACAGACGCGGGUGCGCGGCAGUCUUAUCAUUCUCGCCGACGACGUCUAUCGCACGGCUGCGUGUGCAAUGCUGUCGAGCAUCGCGAAGGAGGUCGCCACGGCGGUAGACUGGGUGGUGCUCCUCACCUACUCAUACGCUAUGGACCCGCCGGCGCUGGAGUUCGGUGCGACGGAGGUCGCCGUUCAAGCCGCGUCGGGUAUUUCACACGGCGGCACGCUUCCCGUGCUGUGCGCCGCCAACGCCCUCGGCGUGCUCCGGCACUUCCCUGUCAGCCGAAGUGAGCCAGCCACUAUUACGCCCGUCGACGUCGCUCUGAAUGCCGCCUUCUUAGGAUACAUAUGGCUGUGCCACGGCGAGUUGCCAGAGUGUGUGGAGUGUGCCGCGGAGAUGCAGUACUGUGGCUCUUCGCCUGCGUCCUCGCACGCCGCCGCUGCUGCCGAGGCGGCGACGGCAAUGCCAGCGCCGCCGGCGCAGUGUGUCACGCGACACCGUAUGGGGUCCUUCGCAGUUGCCGAAUCACGCAAGCCUGGCGAGGCGUCACUGGUGUGGGGCAUGAUGGGCGAGUAUCUCAUGAGUUAUUACGGUCGAUUUGCCGACCAGAUUUCGGCGGCGUUUCCCGUGGCUGGCGUGCUGACGCCGGCGCCAAUUCUGCAGUUCCCGUUUAGCGUGGCGGAUUUGGUCAACUUCGGGCCGGAGCCGCGCGCGGCUGCCUACGCGCUGGAAGGAUGGCGCGCGUAUCAGCAGCGGCAGCGCAUCAUGGAAGAGAAGGUCGGUAAUGCCGAGGCGGCGCAGGCGCUAAAGGCUUAUGUGACACAAAUGGACAGCGUUGUCAGCUACAUCGAGCGUACUGCACGCGUGGCAGCGGUGCGAGACAAGACAUCUGCUGCCUUCGCCGCAUCGCGCAGGCGUACAGCGUCCUCGUCCUUCUCCGUUCCGCCAUACCGCCUCGAUGACUUCAACGUGGCGUUGUAUCACUCGCUACUGCGUCGCUUGACAUCGCACCACACACUCAUGCCCUAUCACCAGUGUGUGGCGCUCGUCGAGGUCGACUGGGAGGCAUAUGUGUCGGUGAUUGCACGGGCAGUGCUUGAGCACCUGGCACGGUGUGUUCUGCGGUCUUCAUCCGGCUUGCAGCACGUAGGGAGUCGCUCCCACGCUCCGCCGGUGGCCGACAGCGCGAGCGUCGUCAGCAUAGUACGCGAUCCUCCUGUCGUCAGCGCCCCAGCCGAGCCGGCGCCUGCGAGUGCAGCGGUGUCGUCGCCCACCAAGCCGGAGGCGGCUGCUUCUGCCGCAGAAGCCCCUUUCGCCUUUCCAGAGCCGCGGCGCUACUUCACCAACGACUUCGUGUACCGCGGUGCCGAGCGCAUCCCGCCGUUUCCGUCUCUUCUGCACAAGUACUUCGAUUGCUUCGUGUUUCUUCAUCGCGCCGGUAUGACGGCGAACGGCUGGCGCAGUGACAUGACACCUGGCAUGACGCCGCAGGUGCUCACCUCAAUCAUCGCGCAGCCGAACAUCCAGCGGCUCAUGACCGCUCUGGCUGCCAAAGACGGCGCAUCGAAAAAAGACGUGGAGGCCCGGGCAAAGAGUCUUCUGCUGCAGUGCGGCGAUGCACUGAAUCACGUUCACUGUCGCGCGCUGGGUCUCAUGAUUCGCGCAAUCUUUCGCAGUAUCUACGGCCGCGUCGACGUCAACAACGGCGCCUAUGAGCGCCUCCACCGUUACUUCGCCAUGCCGCGCGUAGCCGUCGUCUUCGUCCCGCUGCACCGCUCAUACAUUGACUUCCUCAUUCUCUCCGAGGUGCUGGCGCUCAUGCGGUUGCCGCUGCCGCACAUCGUGGCUGGAGAAAACUUUCUUAGCAUGGGCGUCCUCGCAACCCUGAUGCGGGGCAGCGGCGCCCUCUUUAUGCGCCGCUCCUUCCGCGACGACCCACUGUACGCUGCGCUGUUGAAGGAGUAUGUGCGGCACCUGGUGCGUGCGCGCCGCCCUCUCGAGUUCUUCAUUGAGGGAACACGGAGUCGCACUGGCAAGACGAUGGCGCCUAAGCUGGGCCUUCUCAAGUUUGUCUGCGACACCUUCUACGAGCCGGGUCAGCAGGAGCUUGACGACGUGCUCAUUAUGCCGGUCAGCCUCUCCUACGACGAGGUGCUCGAGGCCACCACACAUGCCAAGGAGCUCUUGGGCGUUCCGAAGCCGAAGGAGAACCCGACGAACAUGCUCAAAGCCCGAAGUCUACUCGAGCGCAUGCACGGCAACAUCAACAUCCACAUUGGCGAGCCCGUGUCGCUGCGCUCCCUCAAGGAGCACCCGCAGCAGUGCCCGCUGCCGCUCCAGCCUAAGGGCGAGCAACUCCGAGAUCUGGCUGCGCCAGCCGCCGCAACCGCGUCGGUGUGCAAGACAAUCGAUACCACGCCUUCCAUUGCCAAAGGCAGCUCCAUCACCCCGAUCCCUCUUCUCGCCACCGUCGCGUGGCACCUGGUGUACAAACUACAGCGUAACACGGUCAUCACCCCGGCGUCGAUGGUGGCUGCUGUAGUCGAGUGUCUUGGCCCUUACUACUGCACAGCAACGACAACGUUGAAGGAGGGCAUUGACACCACCGCGGCAGCCGCCAUACCGUUAGAAAAGGUUCACCAGGGGGUCAAGUGGCUGCGUAGGCGCUUGCGCGAGCGCGGUGCUCAGCUUUCGGUGGAGGCCUCCGAGUUGAGCCCUGCCGGGGUCGUGACGCAGGCGCUGACCAACCUCUACCGCUACAUCCACAUCACGGACGAGAUGUCAGGCGUGACAUACCACCCCGACAGCGUGGUCACCAGGAUCGCAGUCAACAUCAGCACCAACCAGCUCAUCCACGUUUGUAUGGACGAGGCCCUCGUCGCCGUCGUCGCGCAGGCGUUCGGCUCUGCCACAACGCCGCACAGUCCGCCAUCAGGCGCCGACGGGGCGAUGCUGUGCGGGGUCCGCUCCGUGAAAGCGGACGUGCUGAGCAGCCAGACGCAGCUUUUGCAGCGGCUGCUGUCCGCUGAGUUCCCCAACUACGCCGAAGCAGCACCGAUGAGCUUCGCGUCGUGGCUGGAGUGCACUAUAAGCCAGCUUCAGGAGUGCGUAGAGGAGCACACCGUGUCCUCCCAGCUUUCUGGCGCCGACACGCACGGCGGUACUGUUGUGCACCUGCCCGUUACGCAGUACUACUACUUCCUCCUUCAACUCAUCUGCCCUCACGUGGAGGCGCUCUACACGGUGCUGGUGGCUGCGUCGGCACUGCUGGCGACGUACCCUGGUAAGCCACUCGGGGCUGCCGAAGUGGUCACGGCGACGCAGCGAGCGUGUGGCAUCCUGUAUGCGGAGCACAAGCUGCGCUAUGUAGUGGCGGCCAACAAGGAGACGCUGCAACACUACUACGAGAGCCUCAUCGCGCUCUCGCUCUUACAGAUAAAGCGCGUGCCCGUUACAACGGCGCCUGGCCAGUCGAAGGUAAGCAGAAGAGUCGUCGCGUACACGGUCGGGUUAUUAGGGCAAGAGGCAGCGCUGGCUCGCCUCAAGGUGCUGUCGACACAGAUAAAGACUCUGUGGUGGCACCCCUCUGCAGCGGAAGGGGUGACGAUCAACAAGGCAGCCAUUCAAGAGCGUGUGCUGGCAGUGUACCGUGAGCUAACACAGCCGUCCAAGAUGUGAGACACUCGUGUAGAUCUGUGUCGCGCUUAGUGAGAAGGGAAGGGAAGUGACAGCUCUCAUGGCAGUGAAGAGGAGGGAAGGUGCAGCAUGGAGUAACAGCAGUGUCGCAGGGGGUGGGGGGGAGGGGGCGCGCCGGGACGCACAUGGCGUGUCUAAUCAAGCUCCCUCCCACCACAGCGCAACAAAUCACGCGCACCAGCUCUUCUAGUUGCUCCUCUCCCUGUUUGACUGAGCAGUUUCGAUGGUUGCCUGCCAACUUAUGUGGGUCUGGAUACCUCUCACUCGCUCUGAUCCUUAUGUUUUGUCUUCGUCACAUGCUUCCCUGUGAUCUGCCAUCUUUUCUUCUCGCUUCAUGAAGGCGACGUUGGUACGCCGGCCGACUCUCCCCUCCCUGUCCGUCUACCUUUUACUGUACACUCAUCGCACCCGUGCGCGCACAAAGACGUGUCGAGAGAGAAAACUUGGCAGCUCGCUCGGUUUUACUCCUAUUUCGCAUCUGCCGCGUCUCUCCUCCUCUUUCUCUCAUCGCCGUGGUGCCGAUGAACUCGCCUCCCUCUUCCCUUUUUCUUUUGUGGUGCCCUUCGCCUCCUGUGCACAUCAGGCAGUGGAUGACCCUAUCUGUUGAUCCGCUGGCGAUCCAUGCUGAUCUUAACGGGAACU